CUGACCCAGAGCGUGGGGGGCAAGGGCGGCGAGGAAAGCAGGAAUCCUCGGACGCAGAAUAACUGCCCACCCGAUAGAAGACUGGGGGACUGAAAUGAAUGGGAACAUGCUGGGCCAGGAGAAGACGGAACUGAGAGAGAAGCAAGUGAUGUGUUCUACCAGGGUUGAGCUGCAUCCGGGCUCUCUGCCAAGCUACCAGCUCCUUUUCCUCCUGAGAAAAGAU